CCCUUAGAUGUUCUGGGCUGCACGCGCGCUACACUGAUGCGCUCAACGAGUUUUAACCUUGCCUGGAAAGGUUGGGUAAUCUUUUUAAAACGCAUCGUGAUGGGGAUAGAUUAUUGCAAUUAUUAAUCUUCAACGAGGAAUUCCCAGUAAGCGCGAGUCAUCAGCUCGCGUUGAUUACGUCCCUGCCCUUUGUACACACCGCCCGUCGCUACUACCGAUUGAAUGGUUUAGUGAGGACUCCUGAUUGGCGCCGCCGCCCCGGCAACGGAGCAGCGGACUGCCGAAAAGUUGUUCAAACUUGAUCAUUUAGAGGAAGUAAAAGUCGUAACA
rnacentral:rRNA from 1 species